CGGCAGGAGAAGCGGAAGCGCCAGACGGAGAUUGAGAACAAGCGGCGGCAGCUCGAGGACAUCCGGCGGCAGCUGCAGCACCUCAAGUCCAAGGCUCUGCGCGUGCUGGAGGGAGCCCCGGCCUCCGCCUCCGAGGAGGACGAGGCCCUCAAGAAGCAGAUGCAGGAGGAUGAGGUGAAGACCAAGGAGCUGGAGGAGACCAUCCAGAGGCUGGAGAAGGAGCUGGAGACACUGGAGAACGGGAGCUCGGCAGCUUCCACCCGGGAGAACCUGGCGGAGGCAGCGGUGCCGGCGCGGGAGGAGAAGGCAGAGGCCGUCCCCAACGCC